rnacentral:rRNA from 1 species
UACGUAGGGUGCGAGCGUUAAUCGGAAUUACUGGGCGUAAAGCGUGCGCAGGCGGUUUUGUAAGUCAGAUGUGAAAUCCCCGGGCUUAACCUGGGACUGCGUUUGAAACUACAAGGCUAGAGUGUGGCAGAGGGGGGUGGAAUUCCACGUGUAGCAGUGAAAUGCGUAGAGAUGUGGAGGAACACCGAUGGCGAAGGCAGCCCCCUGGGUUAACACUGACGCUCAUGCACGAAAGCGUGGGGAGCAAACAGG